CAUCUUCUGAAAAGGUCUCCUAGGUUUCAAACAGCCUUCAGGAGGAACCUGCAACAUUACUGAUCUGAGGUCAUACAGGGACUACACCUGCUGGGUCCAACCCACCUACAACAGACGGGAUGUGGGGACCCGUUUUUCUGUUCAACAGAAAACUCAGAUUGGAGUACCAGAGGAUGUACAUGCUCUGAACCUGGAGGUCAAAGACCGUAAUACGAUCAUUGUGAAAUGCCGUCCUGGAAAAUCCUUCAAUGGACCUGAGGGAGUAUUCAAAGCACAACUUGUUGAUGGCAGUAGCAUUGUGCAGAAAAAUUGGACAAAAUGUGAAUUUGAAUUCAAGAACCUGAAGUACUCUACGAGCUACACAGUGAAGGUGACUGCUGCCAACAGUCUGUUUGAGAGCAACCCCGUCACAAAGCAAAUUUCUACUGAAUAUGACAGAGUUGGAAUUGCUUUUCACGUCUUCUACAUCCUCCUCACGUCUGUGGCUCUGCUGCUCGUCGUCUACAAGAUCUAUGACUUGAGGCGCGGAAAGUCCCAGUGGUCUGGAUGUCCCUGAAGGUGGAGCAGUCGAAGACGGCCGUGAUCGUCUUCUUUCCCGUCUUGUAGGGAUAAAAGAAGAUGUUGAUACGGAACUGUUGUUUUGGUGCCAGGUCCGGGAGCCUGUGAGAGACGCAGAGGACCAUGAGGAGUUCUACAUUUACAGCAGCAGCGUUUAUUAGCAGCAUUAAACUGGAAAACCUUUCAAUAUUACAACUGAAGCUGAGAGUCGAUCAACAAAACUCAUUUAAAAUGUGCUGGUUUUACAUUUGCUUCAUUUGCUUCAUCAGCUGCGAGUUUAACGUUUGACAACAUUAACUUCUUUUGUUUUGUUGUUUUUCAUAUCUUUUAUUUUUUAUUUCUUUGAGUCCUGACGAUAUAUAGAGAAAUUUGAAAUUAGUAAUAAAUGUAUAAUAUAUAGAGAAAUCUGAAUUUUUGUGUCGAUUAAUAAUUGAAGCACGUGAAAACAAAUAAAGCUUUUUUUUAA